rnacentral:tRNA from 1 species
CGGGGUGUAGCUCAGUUGGCUAGAGCGUCCGGUUUGGGACCGGAAGGCCGCCGGUUCGAGUCCGGCCACCCCGACCA